rnacentral:rRNA from 1 species
UUGCACGCUGGCGGCAUGCCUUACACAUGCCGGUCGAACGGCAGCACGGACUUCGGUCUGGUGGCGAGUGGCGAACGGGUGAGUAAUGUAUCGGAACGUACCUUUCAGUGGGGGAUAACGUAGCGAAAGUUACGCUAAUACCGCAUAUUCUGUGAGCAGGAAAGCAGGGGAUCGAAAGACCUUGCGCUGAUUGAGCGGCCGAUAUCAGAUUAGCUAGUUGGUGGGGUAAAGGCCUACCAAGGCGACGAUCUGUAGCGGGUCUGAGAGGAUGAUCCGCCACACUGGAACUGAGACACGGUCCAGACUCCUACGGGAGGCAGCAGUGGGGAAUUUUGGACAAUGGGGGCAACCCUGAUCCAGCCAUGCCGCGUGAGUGAAGAAGGCCUUCGGGUUGUAAAGCUCUUUCGGCCGGGAAGAAAUCGCAUAGGCUAAUACCCUGUGUGGAUGACGGUACCGGAAUAAGAAGCACCGGCUAACUACGUG